rnacentral:rRNA from 1 species
AUUGAACGCUGGCGGCAGGCCUAACACAUGCAAGUCGAGCGGAGCGGCGGACGGGUGAGUAAUGCCUAGGAAUCUGCCUGGUAGUGGGGGAUAACGUCCGGAAACGGGCGCUAAUACCGCAUACUAUCAGAUGAGCCUAGGUCGGAUUAGCUAGUUGGGGGGGUAAAGGCCUACCAAGGCGACGAUCCGUAACUGGUCUGAGGGGAUGAUCAGUCACGCGGGAACGGAGACACGGUCAAGAUUCCUAGGGGAGGCAGAGGUGGGGAAUAUUGGACAAUGGGCGAAAGCCUGAUCCAGCCAGGCCGGGGGUGUAAAGAAGGUCUUCGGAUGGUAAAGCCCUUUAAGUUGGGAGGCGUUACCAACAGAAUAGGCACCGGCUAAUUUCGUGCCAGCAGCGGCGGUAAUU